UACGUAGGGUGCAAGCGUUGUCCGGAAUUAUUGGGCGUAAAGAGCUCAUAGGCGGCUUGUCGCGUCGGCUGUGAAAACCUGGGGCUCAACCCCGGGCCUGCAGCCGAUACGGGCAAGCUAGAAUUCGGUAGGGGAGACUGGAAUUCCUGGUGUAGCGGUGAAAUGCGCAGAUAUCAGGAGGAACACCGGUGGCGAAGGCGGGUCUCUGGGCCGAUAUUGACGCUGAGGAGCGAAAGCGUGGGGAGCGAACAGG
rnacentral:rRNA from 1 species